rnacentral:rRNA from 1 species
UACGUAGGGUGCAAGCGUUGUCCGGAAUUAUUGGGCGUAAAGAGCUCGUAGGCGGUCUGUCGCGUCUGCUGUGAAAACUCAGGGCUUAACCCUGAGCUUGCAGUGGGUACGGGCAGACUAGAGUGCGGUAGGGGAGACUGGAAUUCCUGGUGUAGCGGUGAAUGCGCAGAUAUCAGGAGGAACACCGGUGGCGAAGGCGG